rnacentral:rRNA from 1 species
GACAGAGGUCCCGAGCGUUAGGCGGAAUCACUGGGCUUAAAGCGUGUGUAGGCGGAUCGUUAAGUGCCUUGUGAAAUCCCACGGCUUAACCGUGGAACUGCUGGGCAUACUGGCGGUCUUGAGCAACCUAGGGGCAAAGCGGAACAAAUGGUGGAGCGGUGAAAUGCGUAGAUAUCAUUUGGAACGCCAAUGGUGAAAACAGCUUGCUGGGGGUUUGCUGACGCUGAGACGACGAAAGCCAGGGGAGCGAACGGG